CAGCUCGUGUCGUGAGAUGUUGGGUUAAGCCCGUAACGAGCGCAACCCUUGUCCUUAGUUACCAGCACGUUAUGGUGGGCGACUCUAAGGAGGACUGCCGGUGGACAAACCGGAGGAAGGUGGGGAGUGACGUCAAGUCAUCAUGGCCCUUACGGCCUGGGCUACACACGUGCUACAAUGGUCGGUACAAAGGGUUGCCAAGCCGCGAGGUGGAGCUAAUCCCAUAAAACCGAUCGUAGUCCGGAUCGCAGUCUGCAACUCGACUGCGUGAAGUCGGAAUCGCUAGUAAUCGUGAAUCAGAAUGUCACGGUGAAUACGUUCCCGGGCCUU
rnacentral:rRNA from 1 species